rnacentral:rRNA from 1 species
CCUACGGGUGGCAGCAGUGAGGAAUAUUGGUCAAUGGACGCAAGUCUGAACCAGCCAUGCCGCGUGCAGGAAGACGGCUCUAUGAGUUGUAAACUGCUUUUGUACGAGGGUAAACGCAGAUACGUGUAUCUGUCUGAAAGUAUCGUACGAAUAAGGAUCGGCUAACUCCGUGCCAGCCGCCGCGGUAAUACGGAGGCUUCAAGCGUUAUCCGGAUUUAUUGGGUUUAAAGGGUGCGUAGGCGGUCGGAUAAGUUAGAGGUGAAAUCCCGAGGCUCAACUUCGGAAUUGCCUCUGAUACUGUUCGGCGAGAGAGUAGUUGCGGUAGGCGGAAGGUAUGGUGUAGCGGUGAAAUGCUGAGAGAUCAGACAGAACACCGAUUGCGAAGGCAGCUUACCAAGCUACUGCUGACGUUGAGGCACGAAAGCGUGGGGAGCAAACAGGAUUAGAUACCCUUGUAGUC